ACCCACCAAAUCCCCUCCGCCCCCUUGUCCAACCCUUGCUCAUCGCCUCCUGGACCUCGGUCAAGUCCCGAUCUCCGUUUCCUGACCUUGAUUUUCUUCCUAUUGCUCAUGCUCUGUCCCGUGCAGAAAUUUUGGAGGGGGUCAUGGCCGCCCUCCCCCAGCUGCUGCUCUGCUGGUGACUGUGUGCUCGCCAGCACGGCCAAGGAGACGCCGACGACCACGCACCAGGAGUCGGCGACCUGGACAUGAUCGUCCAGGAGGAGGAGCUCGCACAACACCCGACCACCCACAGAAUAAGGGGAGAAGUGGAGCUGGAGCUGGUCAGGAGGUAGCGAUGGCUGCCAGAUCCGGCUGGAAGGAUGCGGUGGUCUUCUUUUUCGACUCCGUGGGUUUAGGAAAAUGAGGACUAAAUGAGAGACACGUGUCGCAGCUGGAACCUGUGGCUGCAGGCCAUCACUUGGAAGGAAGCUGCAAGACCCUGGGGACAAGCUUGGUCGGCUUCCUUUCUAGCGCCUUAAUGAACUGGUUAUGAUGCAUGCUAUGUUGUAUGUAACUUGCAUGUUGCUGUGCAUCAACUUUGCCCGGUAUUGUCCCCUGAUGCGGACAUUUUCGUUGAUUAUAUGUUUGUGUCACAUGGGCUGUGUCGUAUGCACCAUUGUCUUAAUUGAAGUAUGAUAUUUGCUGUGUAGGUUUGGAUGUCCAAAAAACAGGCAAGGUCUUGCCAAAAUUUUGAGCACUCCCUUGCUAAUUAAUUUCAACAUCCUUGCUACUUAGUAGCUUAAAGACUAGUUCUAUCUAUUAAAUAAAAUCCUGCUGAUCUUUGUAAACAAGUAGAAAGAAGUAAUUGUUGUCAAGUGCUAGAUAGGAAGCAGAAUCAAUCAUCGAUAAGGAUCUGUUGCCUUUCUUGGAAAUUGUUUUAGCUUUAUCAGUUCCUUGUGUAAAUUAGAAGUUUGGAAUUAGACCAGUUCCUGAUUCCUGUAACUUGAGCUCCAAAAUAAUUUGUCUUUUCGUUUUUGUAUUUCAGGGAUAAGUGGAGCUAGCCCAGAAGGUAGCCAUGGCCGCCGGAUCUGGCCGGCAGGCCGGUUCCUUCUUCUUCGAAUCCGUGGGUUUAGCAGGUAAAGAAAGAAGAGCAAGAAGGCUACAAAGAAGGACCUGCCCAGACCCUUUCACUUUCUGCAUGUAAUCUUCUUGGUGCUGUAGUCGGAAGCGCGAACAAGGCAUCCUGUCGUAUGUAGUGCCGCUUAUAUCUGUAGUACACCUUUUCGGUCCUUGUAAUAUUCGGUAGUACUUGAUGUUGUAAAAUCCAUUUUUGUAAUGAUCCAGGCUUUGGAAGUUGUAACAAUUUGGUAAAUGUGCACGUGUGUGAUGUUUGCUCCUAGCUCGCGUUUCUUUGGGUUAGACUUGUCAGCAAGGUUGGAUCGUGUGGCUGUACGAACAUUUAUUCUACUACUAUAUUGUUUGAUUUGUGGUC